AGCUGAAACAUGCCUCCUGCUAGCGUCAUGACAAGGCUGAUACUGAUCAUGGUUUGGAGAAAACUCAUCAGGGACCCUAACACAUACUCAAGUCUUAUUGGUUUUUGCCGGUUCAUUGCCCUGAACCUUCCGCCCUGAACCUGCCUAUGAUAUUCAGAUGUUAACUGUUUUUGAGAAGGGAAACAACCAAAUCACCGUCAAUACAAUCCAGGAUCUAAUGGAAUUAAUUACUACAGAGAUGCAAAGUGAUAAUGCGGCAACAGAUUCUGCUGCUGAAGCUUUCUUUGCAAGCACAUUGCGGUACAUCCAAUUCCAGAAACAAAAAGGUGGCGCAGUUAGUGAGAAAUAUGAACCUAAUGAGAACUGAAAAGUUAAAACUUGAGAAAGGGAAACAAACUCGGUAACAAUUGCUCUUCAAUCCGCUAAACUUGUGAGAAUUGUCGCCUUUGAUCUUGCUCUUGGGACUCUUGAAUGGUUCCCUCAUUUGUCUUUGAAUACGCUGACGCUGACGCUGCGUGCUACGUGUGUCAUGGGAAGUUGCUUAUCCAAGCAUGAUCUCAACUCUCAAAUUGAUUUGGUAAUUGAAAUUUUGAAGCGUCCAGGAGAAGUCCUCCCUGUUUGUCUUAGUGUCGCACGAACGCUGUAAUUUGUUUGAUUUUGGUCUG